GUUCUGACCUCAGUGGGCAGCAGGCACAUGGUAGACACACAUAUACACAUGCAGUGAACACACACAUUGAACCAGAUCUGCAGCUCCAUCUGGUCUCUGGAGUCCGUUUCCUGGGAAACUCAUCACGACUCUGUCUCCCUCCUCCCCUCCCCCACCCAGCCGCUUGUGAGAGGGAGCAAAAACCCACAGACUCCCAUCACUCUGAAACUAUAACCACUGAAACACGGGGAGCAGGAGAGCUCUGUAUGGCU